GUUAUAUGGUCAAGUGAAGAAGCGCAUACGGUGGAUGCCUUGGCAGUCAGAGGCGAUGAAAGACGUGGUAGCCUGCGAAAAGCUUCGGGGAGUCGGCAAACAGACUUUGAUCCGGAGAUGUCUGAAUGGGGGAACCCAGCCAUCAUAAGAUGGUUAUCUUGUACUGAAUACAUAGGUGCAAGAGGCGAACCAGGGGAACUGAAACAUCUAAGUACCCUGAGGAAAAGAAAUCAACCGAGAUUCCCUUAGUAGUGGCGAGCGAACGGGGACUAGCCCUUAAGUGGCUUUGAGAUUAGCGGAACGCUCUGGAAAGUGCGGCCAUAGUGGGUGAUAGCCCUGUACGCGAAAAUCUCUUAGUCAUGAAAUCGAGUAGGACGGAGCACGAGAAACUUUGUCUGAAUAUGGGGGGACCAUCCUCCAAGGCUAAAUACUACUGACUGACCGAUAGUGAACUAGUACCGUGAGGGAAAGGCGAAAAGAACCCCGGAGAGGGGAGUGAAAUAGAUCCUGAAACCGUAUGCGUACAAGCAGUGGGAGCAGACUUUGUUCUGUGACUGCGUACCUUUUGUAUAAUGGGUCAGCGACUUAUUUUCAGUGGCGAGCUUAACCGAAUAGGGGAGGCGUAGCGAAAGCGAGUCUUAAUAGGGCGUCUAGUCGCUGGGAAUAGACCCGAAACCGGGCGAUCUAUCCAUGGGCAGGUUGAAGGUUGGGUAACACUAACUGGAGGACCGAACCGACUACCGUUGAAAAGUUAGCGGAUGACCUGUGGAUCGGAGUGAAAGGCUAAUCAAGCUCGGAGAUAGCUGGUUCUCCUCGAAAGCUAUUUAGGUAGCGCCUCAUGUAUCACUGUAGGGGGUAGAGCACUGUUUCGGCUAGGGGGUCAUCCCGACUUACCAAACCGAUGCAAACUCCGAAUACCUACAAGUGCCGAGCAUGGGAGACACACGGCGGGUGCUAACGUCCGUCGUGAAAAGGGAAACAACCCAGACCGUCAGCUAAGGUCCCAAAGUUAUGGUUAAGUGGGAAACGAUGUGGGAAGGCUUAGACAGCUAGGAGGUUGGCUUAGAAGCAGCCACCCUUUAAAGAAAGCGUAAUAGCUCACUAGUCGAGUCGGCCUGCGCGGAAGAUGUAACGGGGCUCAAACCAUACACCGAAGCUACGGGUAUCACGUAAGUGAUGCGGUAGAGGAGCGUUCUGUAAGCCUGUGAAGGUGAGUUGAGAAGCUUGCUGGAGGUAUCAGAAGUGCGAAUGCUGACAUGAGUAACGACAAUGGGUGUGAAAAACACCCACGCCGAAAGACCAAGGUUUCCUGCGCAACGUUAAUCGACGCAGGGUUAGUCGGUCCCUAAGGCGAGGCUGAAAAGCGUAGUCGAUGGAAAACAGGUUAAUAUUCCUGUACUUCUGGUUAUUGCGAUGGAGGGACGGAGAAGGCUAGGCCAGCUUGGCGUUGGUUGUCCAAGUUUAAGGUGGUAGGCUGAGAUCUUAGGUAAAUCCGGGAUCUUAAGGCCGAGAGCUGAUGACGAGUGUUCUUUUAGAACACGAAGUGGUUGAUGCCAUGCUUCCAAGAAAAGCUUCUAAGCUUCAGGUAACCAGGAACCGUACCCCAAACCGACACAGGUGGUUGGGUAGAGAAUACCAAGGCGCUUGAGAGAACUCGGGUGAAGGAACUAGGCAAAAUGGCACCGUAACUUCGGGAGAAGGUGCGCCGGUGAGGGUGAAGGACUUGCUCCGUAAGCUCAUGCCGGUCGAAGAUACCAGGCCGCUGCGACUGUUUAUUAAAAACACAGCACUCUGCAAACACGAAAGUGGACGUAUAGGGUGUGACGCCUGCCCGGUGCCGGAAGGUUAAUUGAUGGGGUUAGCUAACGCGAAGCUCUUGAUCGAAGCCCCGGUAAACGGCGGCCGUAACUAUAACGGUCCUAAGGUAGCGAAAUUCCUUGUCGGGUAAGUUCCGACCUGCACGAAUGGCGUAACGAUGGCGGCGCUGUCUCCACCCGAGACUCAGUGAAAUUGAAAUCGCUGUGAAGAUGCAGUGUAUCCGCGGCUAGACGGAAAGACCCCGUGAACCUUUACUAUAGCUUUGCACUGGACUUUGAAUUUGCUUGUGUAGGAUAGGUGGGAGGCUUUGAAGCGUGGACGCCAGUCUGCGUGGAGCCAUCCUUGAAAUACCACCCUGGCAACUUUGAGGUUCUAACUCAGGUCCGUUAUCCGGAUCGAGGACAGUGUAUGGUGGGUAGUUUGACUGGGGCGGUCUCCUCCUAAAGAGUAACGGAGGAGUACGAAGGUGCGCUCAGACCGGUCGGAAAUCGGUCGUAGAGUAUAAAGGCAAAAGCGCGCUUGACUGCGAGACAGACACGUCGAGCAGGUACGAAAGUAGGUCUUAGUGAUCCGGUGGUUCUGUAUGGAAGGGCCAUCGCUCAACGGAUAAAAGGUACUCCGGGGAUAACAGGCUGAUACCGCCCAAGAGUUCAUAUCGACGGCGGUGUUUGGCACCUCGAUGUCGGCUCAUCACAUCCUGGGGCUGAAGCCGGUCCCAAGGGUAUGGCUGUUCGCCAUUUAAAGUGGUACGCGAGCUGGGUUUAGAACGUCGUGAGACAGUUCGGUCCCUAUCUGCCGUGGACGUUUGAGAUUUGAGAGGGGCUGCUCCUAGUACGAGAGGACCGGAGUGGACGAACCUCUGGUGUUCCGGUUGUCACGCCAGUGGCAUUGCCGGGUAGCUAUGUUCGGAAUAGAUAACCGCUGAAAGCAUCUAAGCGGGAAACUAGCCUCAAGAUGAGAUCUCACUGGAACCUUGAGUUCCCUGAAGGGCCGUCGAAGACUACGACGUUGAUAGGUUGGGUGUGUAAGCGCUGUGAGGCGUUGAGCUAACCAAUACUAAUUGCCCGUGAGGCUUGACCAUAUAACACCCAAGCAAUU
rnacentral:rRNA from 1 species